UGGGGAAUUUUGGACAAUGGGGGAAACCCUGAUCCAGCCAUCCCGCGUGUGCGAUGAAGGCCUUCGGGUUGUAAAGCACUUUUGGCAGGAAAGAAACGUCGCGGGUUAAUACCCCGCGAAACUGACGGUACCUGCAGAAUAAGCACCGGCUAACUACGUGCCAGCAGCCGCGGUAAUACGUAGGGUGCAAGCGUUAAUCGGAAUUACUGGGCGUAAAGCGUGCGCAGGCGGUUCGGAAAGAAAGAUGUGAAAUCCCAGAGCUUAACUUUGGAACUGCAUUUUUAACUACCGGGCUAGAGUGUGUCAGAGGGAGGUGGAAUUCCGCGUGUAGCAGUGAAAUGCGUAGAUAUGCGGAGGAACACCGAUGGCGAAGGCAGCCUCCUGGGAUAACACUGACGCUCAUGCACGAAAGCGUGGGGAGCAAACAGGAUUAGAUACCCUGGUAGUCCACGCCCUAAACGAUGUCAACUAGCUGUUGGGGCCUUCGGGCCUUGGUAGCGCAGCUAACGCGUGAAGUUGACCGCCUGGGGAGUACGGUCGCAAGAUUAAAACUCAAAGGAAUUGACGGGGUCGAUA
rnacentral:rRNA from 1 species